CACGUAGGGCGCGAGCGUUGUCCGGAAUUAUUGGGCGUAAAGAGCUCGUAGGCGGCUUGUCGCGUCGACUGUGAAAGCCCGCGGCUCAACCGCGGGUCUGCAGUCGAUACGGGCAGGCUAGAGUUCGGUAGGGGAGACUGGAAUUCCUGGUGUAGCGGUGAAAUGCGCAGAUAUCAGGAGGAACACCGAUGGCGAAGGCAGGUCUCUGGGCCGAUACUGACGCUGAGGAGCGAAAGCGUGGGGAGCGAACAGG
rnacentral:rRNA from 1 species